AUGGAUGUGAUGAUUAUUUCCCCAGAUGAACGACGUUGAUUAUACUGUGCUAUUUCUUUCUCUUUUUGAGAUUCCAAGCCAUUACUCUGAUCCAU
rnacentral:snoRNA from 11 species